GGGCCGUAACUAGGGUUUGAAUUCAGGGGAGGCAGGGGUUUGGAGGCCGCCUACUGAGGCCCUCAAGAUAAGGGGUAGGGGAAUGCGCCCCCCUCCCCCCGCCGAUUUUUUUCUCUCAGUAAAAUGGGUAAAAUGACCCUUUUCCUUACUUUAGGAAACAUCGGUAUUACUUGAAACUUGAAACAAUUUUUAUGCAAAAACAAGCUUAGGUUGCUGUUCGGGGUGUGCGAAGGCUCCGUCCUGAAGGCCGUACUUUAGCCUAUAAUUAUUAACAUUAAAUACAUCGUGACCGCAGAUUUUUUUUGGUUUUCUCUCAUUAAAAUCAGUGGCUAAAAAUGACCCGUUUUCCUUCGAUUUCCAUCAGUAUUGCUGGAUCCUGGAAGCAAUUUUUAUGCAAACAAUUAUUAACUGUAUUUAAAGAUUAUUUUGUUAGAAAUCAAACUGGUAAGUUAAAAAAAACAACAUAUAAAGCAAGAUCAUAGAACGUAAGAUAUUCUUUUUAUCGAGGACCUUGAAUUUCAAUAUUGUUGAAAGCUGAACAGACAUGUAUAUAACUACAACCAGAUAAUAUUUCUAUACUAGUAUAUAUUUAGUAUAGAAAGUCCCUGCUACAACGAAUGAGAGUGUUAAACUACUGAGGCAUUGACCAUAAGGAUAUUGUUGUUCUCGUACGAUCGGCAGACGUUAAAAAAAUAUUCCAAC
rnacentral:lncRNA from 1 species